UACGUAGGGUGCGAGCGUUAAUCGGAAUUACUGGGCGUAAAGCGUGCGCAGGCGGUUGUGCAAGACCGAUGUGAAAUCCCCGGGCUUAACCUGGGAACUGCAUUGGUGACUGCACGGCUAGAGUGUGUCAGAGGGGGGUAGAAUUCCACGUGUAGCAGUGAAAUGCGUAGAGAUGUGGAGGAAUACCGAUGGCGAAGGCAGCCCCCUGGGAUAACACUGACGCCUCAUGCACGAAAGCGUGGGGAGCAAACAGG
rnacentral:rRNA from 1 species